rnacentral:snoRNA from 1 species
AACAAAGUUUGCAUGGGAUCUCCAACUGCAAGCAAGAGCAACCUGGAGAGACUGGCAGAUCAGGUCAGCAUAACACCUGCAGCUGCCACCCACCUUUCCUAUAACG